rnacentral:rRNA from 1 species
UAACACAUGCAAGUCGAACGAUGAUGCCCAGCUUGCUGGGUGGAUUAGUGGCGAACGGGUGAGUAACACGUGAGUAACCUGCCCCUGACUCUGGGAUAAGCGUUGGAAACGACGUCUAAUACUGGAUAUGACUGCCGGCCGCAUGGUCUGGUGGUGGAAAGAUUUUUUGGUUGGGGAUGGACUCGCGGCCUAUCAGCUUGUUGGUGAGGUAAUGGCUCACCAAGGCGACGACGGGUAGCCGGCCUGAGAGGGUGACCGGCCACACUGGGACUGAGACACGGCCCAGACUCCUACGGGAGGCAGCAGUGGGGAAUAUUGCACAAUGGGCGAAAGCCUGAUGCAGCAACGCCGCGUGAGGGAUGACGGCCUUCGGGUUGUAAACCUCUUUUAGUAGGGAAGAAGGGAGCUUGCUCUUGACGGUACCUGCAGAAAAAGCACCGGCUAACUACGUGCCAGCAGCCGCGGUAAUACGUUAGGUGCAAGCGUUGUCCGGAAUUAUUGGGCGUAAAGAGCUCGUAUGCGGUUUGUCGCGUCUGCUGUGAAAUCCCCAGGCUCAACCUCGGGCUUGCAAUGGGUACAGGCAAACUAGAGUGCGGAAGUGAAGAUUGGAAUUCCUGGUGUAGCGUUGGAAUGCGCAGAUAUCAGGAGGAACACCGAUGGCGAAUGCAUAUCUCUGGGCCGUAACUGACGCUGAGGAGCUAAAGCAUGGAGAGCGAACAGGAUUACAUACCCUGGUAGUCCAUGCCGUAAACGUUGGGCGCUAGAUGUAGGGACCUUUCCACGGUUUCUGUGUCGUAGCUAACGCAUUACGCGCCCCGCCUGGGGAGUACGGCC